AUACUAAGAGCUGGUUUGGGAAGGCGAGCUGGCUAGACGACGGUUGAAUUUCCCUUGGAUCCUUUGCACAAGUGGAAAGCUGAUCUCUGGAGAACCUGCUUUCACCCUGUGCCUCAAGGGUCGGAGGCCCACAGGCCCAACUAUGGGCCAUGGCUAACUGGAACAGAGAUGUUCCCAGAACCAAAAUGGGUCCUUGAGCCACGCUUUCUGGUGAAUUGUCAUUCAGACCCAGAGACUGCUCAACCUCUGCUGAGAAAUGGUGGAAAAACAAGUCAUUCAUUUGGUUAAAGAAGAAUUUUCCAGCACCAAGUUUGGAACUGAAAUAUGUAAGUGGAUAGAUGAAUAGGUAGAUGAUAGAGAGAGAGAUAGGUGAUAGAUAGAUACAUAGAUAGAUAGAUAAUAGAUGAUAGAUAGAUGAUAGAUAGAUAGAUAGAUAGAUAGAUAGAUAGAUAGAUAGAUAGUAGAUAAAUAGGUGAUAGGUAGAUAGAUAAAUGAUAGAUGAUAGAUAGAUGACAGGUAGAUAGUAGAUAGAUAGGGAGAUAGGUGAUAGGUAGAUAGAUAAUUGAUAGAUGAUGGAUGAUAGAUAGGUAGAUAAAGAUAUGUUUAGAGAAGAAAAAAAGAAACCUCACAUAGUAUGAAUAAAAUUAAGGAAAUUUAAUAUCAUUUCCCAUGUCCCUAAAACCAAGUGUGAAAAAAGGGGAGAAUUCCUAGCUAAAUACAAAUAAAGAUUCCAGCCCCAUAGCGUCCCCGGCACCGCACAGCCUACAUUAGAAUGGAUGUGACGUUUGGACUCCGUGUAGACCAUGCAGAUUAGAUUGGAGCUGGCGCCCUGGGAGCAGGUCAGCGGCUCGCGUGACCCGCGGCAGAAGCUUGUUGCAGGUGCCGGUGGAAGGGGACAGGCCCGCGCUCCCCAAGACAACUCCCACCGAGCCUCUUCUGGCCUCCAGGACGGCGCGGCACGGUCGGCCAAGAAAAAUGAAAUCAUUCCUGACCAAGGUAGCCCCGGGAGGCAAGAAGACCUUAGGACUAUGACCGUCCAAGGAGCCUCGGCCACUCGGUUCACUGAUGCCUGA
rnacentral:lncRNA from 12 species